rnacentral:tRNA from 1 species
GGGCCGGUAGCUCAACCUGGUAGAGCACCUGACUUUUAAUCAGGUGGUUGCGGGUUCGAAUCCCGUCCGGCCCA